AUUCCCAGGGAGGAACCAAAUCGACACAUGAAUACAGCUUCUUUCAUCCCCCUGUCCAAUGACUUCGCCCUGUACUCUUUGACCAAUCAAUGAGCUCCACAUUUUAGCCUACUCCAAAACCCUUAAAAACGCUUACCCCAAAUCCCUCAGAAAUGGACUUGAGGUUUCCUCCUAUCUUGUUGUUUGGUAGCCUACGAUUAAACCUCUUUCUCUGCUGCAACCUGGUGUCUUGGGGUGUUGACUUGCAGAACACAUCUGGCAAUGGAUCUGUUACAGUUAUGCAUUCACCAUGGGAACAUGCCUGCUGGAGAAGGAAAAACGUGUGGAGCAGAGCCAACUCACUCCAGUCUCCUCAACCGGUAGCCAACCAACUCCCAGGUAUGUGAGCAAGACCAUCCAAGAUCAGCAAAGCCACCAGUGGGCCCCCAAUGACCCCAGCUGCAUGAGGAACACAUUUAUUUUUAUAUACCACUGAGGCUUUGUUGCUCACUCUUUCUGUGGCAGUAGAUAAUUGAUAUAGUUCAUGACCACACUUAUGGCCAAUCAGAGUUAGAACUGAAACUUUUGCUAGAACAAUUAGCACAGAGACAUUUAUUUUUCUACUGAUACUUUUGUGCUGAAAAGCUCUAAGCCUAGAGCAGCUGGAAGAUGCCAUGUCACCUUGGAGAAAGGGUGUCUGAGACUGAUGCCAACACAGAAGAGUAGAAAUUUACAAAUAAGAAGGAAGAAUUCUAACAAUGUUUUUUUGAGUUCCAGGGUCAAGCCAUUCCUGUAACAACUAAACUAGACUUUUCACUUAAAUGAACUGAAUGCUACCUUAUGUUUCUUGCUACAGUCAACUUACGUUGGAUUUUUAACCCCAGGUUAUCAUAGAGUCCUGAUCAGUAGAUGUAUUUUCAAUGUAGAGUAUUGUGAAAAGUAAUGAGUUAUAAAUGUGCCUCCAUUGGAAAGUCAAGAGUCUAGAAAAACACGGCUGUUUUUCUGAAUUCCAGGUAGUAAAAAAAACAAGUGUUUCUAUCCUUUCUUGUGCAUUUUACUUUCUAGAGUGCCAGAGGCUUGCGUAAGUAAGUUUGCACCUUGCUGAGCUGUUAAGAGGCUGUGAUGACAGUUGCCCCCACAAGAUUUCACCAGUACCUGGAAAUAAGUAUGACUCACUCCUGACUCAGUUUUGGUGACCACGAGGGCACAGCAAUUCUGAGAAAGACUGGGCCAGGUUGUUCUUCUACGUCAGUGAUUUAACUCAUGCCAUAGAUGGUAGAAACCAACCAUUUCAGACCUGAAGGAGAUGGCAAAGAUGAGAUCAUCAAAGACUCAUGGUUUCCUGUGGAGAUAACCAGAGGCAGAGGGGCGGAGGCAGUGCUGGUGGAGUCUGGCAUCCCAUGCAGGACUAAGAAGAUGGGCUUUGCGGGCAGAGAGAUGGAGGUUUGAACCUAAGCGUUGUUAUCUAUAAAUGUAGCCACUGUGGGCAAGUCAUUUAACCUUGCUGGGCCUCCAUUUCCACUUUUGUAAAGUAGGGGUACAGUACCACACAAGAAUGAAAGAUCAUUAUAUAUAUAUGUGUGUGUGUGUGUGUGUGUAUAUAUAUAUAUAUAUUUAUUUAUUUAUUUUUUGAGGCAGGGUCUUGCAGUGUCACCCAGACUAGAGUGCAGUGGCACAAUCAUGGCUCACUGCAGCGUCCAACUCCUGGGCUCAAGCAAUCCUCCUGCCUCAGCCUCCUGAGUAGCUGGGAUGACAGUCACAUGUCACCAUGCCCAGAUAAUUUUAAAUUUUUUUAGUAGAGAUGGGGUCUCAUUAUGUUGCCCAGACAGGUCUCAAACUCCUGGCCUUGAGCAAUCCUUCCAAAGCUUCCCCAAAUGCUGGGAUUGCAGGCAUGAGCCCCAGCAUCCGGCCAGUUGCUGCUUACAUUUAAUAUGUGUAGGCACUCCCACUCUGGGAGGAGCUACUUAAUCUUCCUCAUCACCUCCCACGUCCCACAAAAAGUGGGCUUGACUUAGUGGUUUGCUUCCAAAGAAUAAAGUAUGAGAAGGGAAAAUACACUAAUUAGAAAGUGGAGGCUGGGCAUGGUGGCUCACGCCUGUAAUCCCAGCACUUUGGGAGGCCGAGGUGGGUGGGUCACAGGUCAGGAGUUGGAGACCAGCCUGAUCAACAUGGUGAAACCCAGUCUCUACUAAAAAUACAAAAAUUAGCCAGGCGUGGUUGCACAUGCCUGUAAUCCCAGCUACUCAGGAGGCUGAGGCAGGAGAAUCGCUUGAACCUGGGAGGUGGAGGUUGCAGUGAGCCGAGAUAGCACCAUUGCACUCCAGCCUGGGUGACAGAGUGAGAUCCCAUCUCAAAAUAAAAAAAAAAAAAGCAAGUGGCGAAACCUGGCAAAUGCUACCCAAGUGAUGAAUGCCAACCUCACUGAGGAAGCCUGGUGGCUCUCAUGCAGCCUUGGAUAAGAUGUGAAGAGGAAGAUGCUUCAGUUUUGUGGUGUUCUUCCCCCAAACCCAAACUCCAGUCUACUCAUGAGAAGUCCACCAGAGAAACCCAGAGUGGAGGACAUUCUACAAAAUACCUGGCCAGUAUCCCCACUAGGACUUCCAGGGUCAUGAAAACCAAGGAAAGACUGAGAAAUGGACACAUCAGAGGAGACUGGGGAGAUGCUACAACUAAAUGCAAUGUGAUACCUUGGAUCAGAUGGUGGAACAGAAAGAGGACAUACAUGGAAAGACAGAUGAAAUUGUAAUUAAGUCCAGAAUUUAGUUAAUAAUAAUGUAAGAAUGUUGGUUUUUCAGUUGUGACAAAUUUACUCAGGUUAUGUGAGAUGUUAACAAGAGGAGAAAAUGGCUGGGCAAAACUACUGGCUCAUGCCUGUCAUCUGAUAAAGGAAAAACUUCAGCCAAGUGCUGUGGCCCACGCCUGUAAUCCCAGCACUUUGGGAGGCCAAGGUGGGCGGAUCACCUGAGGUCAGUAGUUUGAGACCUGACCUUUGCACUCCAGCCUGGCCAACAUGGUGAAAUCUCGUCUCUACUGAAAAUAUAAAAAAUUAGCCAGGCAUGGUUGUGGACACCUGUAAUCCCAGCUACUCGGGAGCUGAGGCAGGAGAAUUGCUUGAACUGGGAGGCGGAGGUUGCAGUGAGCUGAGAUCAUGCCAUUGCACUCUAGCCCAGGCGACAGUGUGAGACUCGAUCUGAAGGAAAAAAAAAAAAAGAAAAACUUCAGGCAAAUUGAAUGUAAAGGAGUUUAGUUGAGCAAUGAACGAUUCAGGGAUCGGAUAUCCCCCAGAAUCACAGCUGAUUCAAAGAGACUCCAGCACAGCCAUGUAGUGGAAGAUUUAUAGACAAAAAAAGAGGGCCAGGCGCGGUGGCUCACGCCUCUAAUCCCAGCACUUUGGGAGGCUGAGGCGGGUGGAUCAAGAGGUCAGGAGAUCGAGACCAUCCUGGCUAACACGGUGAAACCACACAUCUACUAAAAAUACAAAAAAUCAGCCGGGCGUUGUGGCAGGCGCCUGUAGUCCCAGCUACUCAGGAGGCUGAGGCAGGAGAAUGGCGUGAACCCGGGAGGCAGAGCUUGCAGUGAGCAGAGAUCAUGCCACUACACUCCAGCCUGGGAAACAGAGCAAGACUCUGUCUCAAAAAAAGAAAGUGGGGGGAAAUGAUGUACACAAAUCAGAAGUGAGGUACAGAACAGCUGGAUUGGUUACAGGUUGGCGUUUGCCUCAUUUGAACACAGCUUCAACACUCAUCGGUGUAUGAGUGGUUGAAGUAUAGCUCCUGGGAUUGGCCACGACUCAGCUGUUGUUACAGGUCCCCAGACUUAGAGAUCCAGGAGAUGAACUCAAGAGCAGCCCGUUGCCUGCAGUGGCUGACAUGAAGCCUUUCUGCGUCAUCGGUGUCUUGUCUGAUGCUUCCCCAGUGGAAUUUCCUGCUGUGUUCCUGGGAAACCCAAGCAACCAGAAGUUCAUCCAAUUAUUUAUUUGCUUCGAGUCAUCCGGAUGUAAAAGUAUGCAGCUAUCAUAUACUGGUGAAGACUCCUUCCAUGUAAACAUCCACAUACUCUGGGGAAACCUGCUGCCAAAGUAGGAGGAUUCCAAAGGACCUAGAGGAAGAAAAAGCUACAAUAUGGAAGACACCUGAGUUUCUGAAGGACUGUGUGGAGCACUUCCUUCUGCUGAUGAACAUGUGCUAUGAAAAAUAAACUUAUUUUGU
rnacentral:lncRNA from 1 species